UCCUACGGGAGGCAGCAGUGGGGAAUAUUGCACAAUGGGGGAAACCCUGAUGCAGCCAUGCCGCGUGUGUGAAGAAGGCCUUCGGGUUGUAAAGCACUUUCAGCGAGGAGGAAAGGGUGUAAGUUAAUACCUUACAUCUGUGACGUUACUCGCAGAAGAAGCACCGGCUAACUCCGUGCCAGCAGCCGCGGUAAUACGGAGGGUGCGAGCGUUAAUCGGAAUUACUGGGCGUAAAGCGUGCGCAGGCGGUUUGUUAAGCGAGAUGUGAAAGCCCCGGGCUCAACCUGGGAACCGCAUUUCGAACUGGCAAACUAGAGUCUUGUAGAGGGGGGUAGAAUUCCAGGUGUAGCGGUGAAAUGCGUAGAGAUCUGGAGGAAUACCGGUGGCGAAGGCGGCCCCCUGGACAAAGACUGACGCUCAGGCACGAAAGCGUGGGGAGCAAACAGGAUUAGAUACCCUGGUAGUCCACGCCGUAAACGAUGUCUACUCGGAGUUUGGUGUCUUGAACACUGGGCUCUCAAGCUAACGCAUUAAGUAGACCGCCUGGGGAGUACGGCCGCAAGGUUAAAACUCAAAUGAAUUGACGGGGGCCCGCACAAGCGGUGGAGCAUGUGGUUUAAUUCGAUGCAACGCGAAGAACCUUACCUACUCUUGACAUCCACAGAACUUUUCAGAGAUGAAUUGGUGCCUUCGGGAACUGUGAGACAGGUGCU
rnacentral:rRNA from 1 species